CCUACGGGAGGCAGCAGUGGGGGAUAUUGCACAAUGGGGGAAACCCUGAUGCAGCAACGCCGCGUGUGGGAAGAAGGUUUUCGGAUUGUAAACCACUGUUCUUGGUGACGCUAAUGACGGUAACCAAGGAGAAAGCUCCGGCUAACUAAGUGCCAGCAGCCGCGGUAAUACGUAGGGAGCAAGCGUUGUCCGGAUUUACUGGGGGUAAAGGGUGCGGAGGCGGGCUUGUAAGUCAGACGUGAAAACCACAGGCUCAACCGGUGGACUGCGUUUGAAACUGUGGGGCUUGAGUGAAGUAGAGGGAGGCGGAAUUCCCGGUGUAGCAGUGAAAUGCGUAGAGAUCGGGAGGAACACCAGUGGCGAAGGCGGCCUACUGGGCUUUAACUGACGCUGAGGCACGAAGGCAUGGGGAGCAAACAGGAUUAGAUACCCCGGUAGUC
rnacentral:rRNA from 1 species